rnacentral:lncRNA from 1 species
AUGAGAUAUGGGGCAGAAUAUUUCAAAAAAAAUAUAUCUUAUGAUAUUUUAGAUCUAAGAUCCAUUAGAUUUAAUUUUUAUUAUCUGAUAUUAAAUCUAAAAUUAAAUCUAAAAUCAUAAGGAAUAGAGAAAUACCUCUAGGGUAACUAGAUUACCCUGUAGAUGAUCGCAGCAGUGCCCAGGAUUCUAAAAUAGCCAUGCAGUCGGCUGGCCUCUAUCAAUAUCCACUC